UACGAACCGUGCGAACGUUAUUCGGAAUCAUUGGGCUUAAAGGGCGCGUAGGCGGCGGUGUAAGUUGGAAGUGAAAUCCCAUCGGCUCAACCGUGGAAUUGCUCCCAGUACUGCAUCGCUCGAGGGGGAUAGGGGUCUGCGGAACUACCGGUGGAGCGGUGAAAUGUGUUGAUAUCGGUGGGAACGCCAGUGGCGAAAGCGGCAGACUGGACCCUUCCUGACGCUGAGGCGCGAAAGCUAGGGGAGCAAACGGG
rnacentral:rRNA from 1 species